rnacentral:rRNA from 1 species
CGAACGGGUGAGUAACACUGGGUUACCUGCCCCGAUGAUUGGGACAACCCGAGGAAACUCGGGCUAAUACCAAAUGUGCUCCUGGCCGUAAUGGCCUUGAGGAAAGGAAGCUUCGGCCUCCGCAUCGGGAUGGGCCCGCGGCCCAUUAGCUAGUUGGUGGGGUAACGGCCUACCAAGGCGACGAUGGGUAGCUGGUCUGAGAGGACGAUCAGCCACACUGGGACUGAGACACGGCCCAG